rnacentral:rRNA from 1 species
GAUGAACGCUGGCGGCGUGCCUAAUACAUGCAAGUAGAACGCUGAAGCUUGGUGCUUGCACCGAGCGGAUGAGUUGCGAACGGGUGAGUAACGCGUAGGUAACCUGCCUCUUAGCGGGGGAUAACUAUUGGAAACGAUAGCUAAUACCGCAUAAAAGUUGACAUUGCAUGAUGUUGAUUUGAAAGAUGCAAUUGCAUCACUAAGAGAUGGACCUGCGUUGUAUUAGCUAGUUGGUGAAGUAACGGCUCACCAAGGCGACGAUACAUAGCCGACCUGAGAGGGUGAUCGGCCACACUGGGACUGAGACACGGCCCAGACUCCUACGGGAGGCAGCAGUAGGGAAUCUUCGGCAAUGGGGGCAACCCUGACCGAGCAACGCCGCGUGAGUGAAGAAGGUUUUCGGAUCGUAAAGCUCUGUUGUAAGAGAAGAACGAGUGUGAGAGUGGAAAGUUCGCACUGUGACGGUAACUUACCAGAAAGGGACGGCUAACUACGUGCCAGCAGCCGCGGUAAUACGUAGGUCCCGAGCGUUAUCCGGAUUUAUUGGGCGUAAAGCGAGCGCAGGCGGUUAGAUAAGUCUGAAGUUAAAGGCUGUGGCUUAACCAUAGUACGCUUUGGAAACUGUUUAACUUGAGUGCAGAAGGGGAGAGUGGAAUUCCAUGUGUAGCGGUGAAAUGCGUAGAUAUAUGGAGGAACACCGGUGGCGAAAGCGGCUCUCUGGUCUGUAACUGACGCUGAGGCUCGAAAGCGUGGGGAGCAAACAGG